rnacentral:tRNA from 1 species
CAGGGAGACAACAAAAUGUUUGUAAUAAAUUUUGUCACCUUAGGUCGAUCGGAACCUCUGAUUUUUCGAAAAUCUCGAAGAUUUCAAUAUCCUAAGUUUUUUCUAGGUCACACCCAUUUUUUUCCUGGGCCAUUAGCUCAGGUGGUUAGAGCGCACCCCUGAUAAGGGUGAGGUCCCUGGUUCAAGUCCAGGAUGGCCCAUAUCUCUAUUGGGGGUAUAGCUCAGUUGGUAGAGCGCCUGCUUUGCAAGCAGGAUGUCAGCGGUUCGAGUCCGCUUACCUCCACUGAAUACCACCUAAUUCAUUUAAGAGGGAAUUUAUUUGGGUAAACCUUCAAUCUGGGAGAAUCUAGCUUCCUGUUAAUUUAAUUAAUAAGAUGCUGGAUUCACUGAAUUUCACAAUUCAAUGAUUCCAGAGAACCUUGACAACUGCAUAGAUUUAAUUUUCAAGACAAUAAGCAUCUUUAAGAUGCAGAUUUAUUAUUGGUGCUAAUGCAUUAAUAACAAUUCUAUUGAGCUGAUGCUUCAAAUAUUUUGAAGUUAUU